rnacentral:rRNA from 1 species
CAAAAAAGUAUCUGCUUUAAGAGAAUACCUAAGGACUCAAAGAUGAUGAAGGGCGUGUAAACCUGCGAAAAUUUCUAGUUAGUUGGAAAAAAACAUAAGUAAAAGCUAAUAUCUAGAAGUUCCCGAAUAGAGCAAUCUUUAAAACUGCUAAAAUAAUUCAUACUUUAGUAAGAAAAAACUUAGUGAACUGAAACAUCUUAUUAACUAAUGGAAAAGAAAACAAAAUGUUAUUUCCUGAGUAGUGGCGAACGAAACGGAACUAGCCUAAACUAACAUAAAACUAGUGUUGUAGGGGGUUUCAAUAAAAUUAAAACCAAAAUUUAAACAGCUGAAACCUGUACCAUAGAUGGUGAAAGUCCAGUUUUUUUUGUUUCUUUUAAUUUUUAUAACCACCCCAAGUAGCUUGGGACACGUGUAAUCCCUUGUGAAUCAACGAGGACCACCUCGUAAGGCUAAAUACUCUUGAGUCACUAAUAGUGAAUAGUACCGUGAGGGAAAGGUGAAAAAAAAUCCCUAUUGGGAAGUGAAAUAGAAUAUGAAACUUAAAGCAAUCAAUCUGUGGGAGGAAUUUUUUAUAUUCUGACCGCGUGCCUGUUGAAGAAUGAGCCAGCGACUCAUAAUUAUUGGCUAGGUUAAAGAAAUUUUCUGGAGCCAAAGUGAAAACAAGCUAAAAAAACGAAUGGUCAAUAGUUAUGGACCCGAACCCGUUGUGAUCUAACCAUGACCAGGAGGAAGCUGAGGUAAAACUUUGUGGACGUCCGAACCGACCAAUGUUGAAAAAUUGACGGAUGAGUUGUGGUUAGUGGUGAAAUGCUAAUCGAACACGGAGCUAGCUGGUUCUCCCCGAAAUGUGUUUUGGCACAGCAUUUGUUGGUAACUAUUAACAGGUAAAGCACUGUUUCGAUGCAGGCCAGUCAAAAGGUACUAAAUUGUUGCAAACUCAGAAUUGUUAAUAUGACUUUGUUAACCGACAAAAAGUGAGACUUUGAGGGAUAAGCUUCAAAGUCAAAAGGGAAACAGCCCAGAUCAUCAGCUAAGGCCCCUAAAUAAUAGCUAAGUGAUAAAGGAAGUUUCAACGCUAAAACAACUGGAAGGUUUGCUUAGAAGCAGCUAUCCUUUAAAGAAUGCGUAAUAGCUCACUGGUUUAUUAAAGCUUUGAUGCACCGAAAAUGUGCGGGACUAAGCUAUUUGCCGAAGCUGUGAGAGAUUAAAAAUCUCGGUAGGGGAGCGUUCUGUUUAUAUUAAGGUGAAGUCUUUUUGAAAAAAAAGUUGGAUUGAACAGAAGUGAGAAUGUUGGCUUGAGUAACGAAAACAUUGGUAAGAAUCCAAUGCCCCGUAAACCUAAGGUUUCCUCGACACGGUUCGUCCAUUGAGGGUUAGUCAGGGCCUAAAAUUAGGCUGAAAAGCGUCAUUGAUGGAAAACAGGUUAAUAUUCCUGUACUCGUUUGAAUUUGGUGACAACAGACGAAGAAGGCAAUAAACGAUGGUUAAAUUGGUUACCAUGGAAAUAUUAAUACAGAAUUAAAAAAAAAAAUUUAAUUUAUAUGUAAAAAUAUGAUCCAGCACUAAAAAAAAAUAAAAACAACAUUAAAGUAAUAACAAAACAAGUGUUCGGUAAAGAUUGUCAUACUUCCAAGAAAAUUUUGUGACACUAAAAAUAAUUUAAAUGACCUGUACUUUAAACCGACACAGGUAGGUGAGUUGAAUAUACGAAGGGGCGCGAGAAAACUCUCUCUAAGGAACUCGGCAAAAUAGCUCCGUAACUUCGGGAGAAGGAGUACCUUUAAGAAAUAUUUUUUGAAGGUCGCAGUGAAUGGAUUUAUCGAACUGUUUAUCAAAAACACAGGUCUCUGCAAAGUCGUAAGACAAAGUAUAGGGGCUGACGCCUGCCCAGUGCCGGAAGGUUAAAGAAAUUGGUUAACGCUAGUAACUAAAGCCAGCGAAAUUCCUUGUCACGUAAGUUGUGACCCGCACGAAAGGCGUAAUCAGAUAAAUACUGUCUCAGAGAGAGACUCGGUGAAAUAGACAUGUCUGUGAAGAUGCGGACUUCUAAUCCUUAGACAAAAAGACCCCGUGAAGCUUGACUGUAUCUUAACAUUGGGUUUCAGUUAUUUGUGUGCAGUCUAGGUGGGAGGUGAUGAAGUUAAAAUUUUUUAAUGGAACCAAAAUUGAGAGACCACCCUCAAGUGAUAGAAAUUCUUAAGAUGUUUCCUUAUACCAGGACAUUUAACAGUGUUAGGAAGGCAGUUUUUUUGGGGCGAAAAUCUCCUAAAAGGUAACGGAGGUUUACAAAGGUUUCUUCAAACUGGACGGAAAUCAGUUUUUGAGUGUAAAGGCAAAAGGGAGCUUGACUGUGAGACUCAUACGUCGAACAGAGGCGAAAGCCGGUCUUAGUGAUCCGACGGUUCCACGUGGAACGGCCGUCGCACAAAAAAUAAAAGUUACUCCGGGGAUAACAGGCUCAUCUUUCCCAAGAGUUCACAUCGACGGGAAGGUUUGGCACCUCGAUGUUGACUUUUCGCAACCUGGGGCGGUAGUACGUCCCAAGGGUUGGGCUGUUCGCCCAUUAAAGCGGAACACGAGUUGAGUUCAGAACGUCGUGAGACAGUUUGGUCUAUAUCUGGGAUUAGCGUUAGAAUAUUGAAAGGAGUUUUCUAUAAUACGAGAGGACUUGGAAGAACAUACCACUGGUAUACCAGUUCUUUUACCAAAAGGAUACGCUGGGUAGCUAUGUAUGGAGAAGAGUACCGCUGAAGGCAUCUAAGUGGGAAGCUCACCUUAAGAUGAAUAUUCUCUAAUAGAAUCUGGCAAGAUAAGCCGGUUGAUAGGUUUUAGGUGUAAGAUUUGCAAAAAUUUUAGCCAAGAAAUACUAACAUUCAAUUGUUUUUGAU